GAGAGAGAACUCUGUGUUCAGGGAGAGCUACCGCUCAGGGCCGACACCAGGUCACUCUACAGAUGGCCUCAGCUACUCUCCUCAAGUCCUCUUUCCUACCCAAAAGGUCAGAAUGGCACGCAGCUGCGCGCAAAUCCUCCAACCCUCAACCGGUGGCAGUCUCCUUCACCGUCCGCGCCGGCGCCUACUCCGACGAGCUCGUCAAGACCGCGGUAACGCCACCUACUAUGUUCUAUGUUCCGUAUUAAGAUCAAGAUUGAGCACCCUUCACGAUCUGAAGUACCGAAUGCUACAUGCAGAAAACUAUCGCGUCGCCAGGGAGGGGGAUACUCGCCAUGGAUGAAUCCAACGCCACCUGCGGCAAAAGACUCGCAUCAAUUGGGCUGGAGAACACAGAGGCAAACCGACAAGCUUACAGGACCCUCCUUGUCUCAGCUCCUGGUCUGGGCCAGUACAUCUCUGGGGCAAUCCUGUUCGAGGAAACUCUCUACCAGUCAACUACGGAUGGUAAGAAGAUGGUCGAUGUUCUUGUUGAGCAAAAGAUAGCGCCAGGGAUCAAAGUUGACAAGGUGAGCACUCGAUCUUUGGCAACACGUAUGGAAUUGUCAUAUUGUUUUACUCACAUCUAGGAUUGUGUUCUACUUCCAUCCUGUUUGUGUUAUCAGGGUCUGGUGCCACUUACUGGCUCAAAUGAUGAAUCAUGGUGCCAAGGAUUGGAUGGCCUCGCGUCGCGAUGUGCAGCAUACUAUCAACAGGGAGCUCGCUUUGCUAAAUGGUAAGAUACACUGUUGCAUCCUGGAAUUUAAUUGUGUGCAUGUUUGGAGGCCAUGCUUAUGUCCGGCUUGUUGCAGGCGUACAGUGGUCAGCAUUCCAAACGGCCCAUCAGCUCUCGCAGUGAAGGAAGCUGCUUGGGGUCUGGCUCGAUACGCUGCCAUUGCUCAAGUACAUCUCCUUCACUUCCAUUCUUUCAUCAUUAUAGGAUCAGUGAAUACAACUCCUUUCAGUAUGCACACGCUACGAGCAGAAAGCAGCCUCGACUAAUCUUCUCGUCUUGUUUGCAGGACAAUGGCCUGGUUCCAAUUGUGGAGCCUGAGAUACUGCUCGACGGAGAGCACGGGAUCGAUAGGACGUUUGAGGUCGCACAGAAAGUUUGGGCUGAGGUCUUCUUUUACUUGGCUGAGAACAACGUCAUGUUCGAAGGUAUCCUCCUCAAGCCAAGCAUGGUCACCCCCGGCGCCGAGUGCAAAGAGAAGGCCACACCGGAGCAGGUCGCCGACUACACCCUGAAGCUCCUGCACAGAAGAGUCCCAUCUGCUGUUCCUGGCAUUAUGGUACGCAGCACCACCAUGAUCAUCUUGUUCGCUUCUCUCAUAGAGGUGAUGAUUGAUGCCCAUUCACCUGUAAAUGUUUUGGCGAACAGUUCCUCUCCGGUGGACAGUCGGAAGUGGAGGCAACCCUGAACCUGAAUGCCAUGAACCAGAGCCCCAACCCAUGGCACGUCUCCUUCUCUUACGCGAGAGCUCUGCAGAACACCUGCCUGAAGACAUGGGGAGGAAGACCGGAGAACGUGAAGGCUGCGCAGGAUGUGCUCCUAGUCCGGGCCAAGGCCAACUCGCUCGCUCAGCUCGGGAAGUACUCAGCCGAGGGCGAAGCUGCAGAAGCUAAAGAGGGGAUGUACGUCAAGAACUACAGCUACUGAGAACCCAGCAAAGCAUGAUAUCUUCUAUAUCUCUGUGGAUUUUGAUUACCGGUCUGUUCAAGGAAGACGACGAUCGAUGUAGUUGAAUGUUUAAGCCUGCAUAAGACUGCAUUUGGUAUUAAGUAUCGAUUGAAUACAGCUUGUUAGCUGCGUCUGUUGCAAA
rnacentral:lncRNA from 1 species